rnacentral:rRNA from 1 species
UACGUAGGGGCCAGCGUUGCUCGGAAUUACUGGGCGUAAAGGGUUCGUAGGCGGUGCGGCAAGUUGGGAGUGAAAUCUCUGGCUUAACUCAGGGCUGCUUCAAAACUGCCGCGCUCGAGUGCGAGAGAGGUCAGGUGGAAUUGGCAGGUGUAGCGGUGAAAUGCGUAGAUAUCUGACAGGAACACCCGUGGCGAAGGCGGCUGACUGGAUCGCAACUGCGCUGAGGAACGAAAGCUAGGGGAGCAAACAGG